GGACGGGUGAGUAAUGUCUGGGAAACUGCCUGAUGGAGGGGGAUAACUACUGGAAACGGUAGCUAAUACCGCAUAACGUCGCAAGACCAAAGAGGGGGACCUUCGGGCCUCUUGCCAUCAGAUGUGCCCAGAUGGGAUUAGCUAGUAGGUGGGGUAACGGCUCACCUAGGCGACAAUCCCUAGCUGGUCUGAGAGGAUGACCAGCCACACUGGAACUGAGACACGGUCCAGACUCCUACGGAGGCAGCAUG
rnacentral:rRNA from 1 species